rnacentral:ncRNA from 2 species
UAAAAAAUAAAAGUAUUAGGUUUUGUCACAAGACAAAUUAAAAGGGGAAGUAGGGUGAAAGUCCCACACGGUCCCGCCACUGUAAAGUCAGAUUACCUGCCUAAAUACUGCCUUAUGU